rnacentral:misc_RNA from 1 species
AUUUGCAUUGGAGAUGGCUGUUUUCUGAGCCAUUAUCAUUCUGAGUCUAAUGCGAAUGGUGCAAAGGUAGAAAGGUGUUUAGCUAGAAGGCUUUGUGAUAAAUUUUGAAUUUUGCAUAUAAUUUCUCAAGGUUUGGUUUGGCCUGCCAGAGUAAUCAAUAUUUAGGUGAUGAUUUUCUUUCUUAUCUUACUACUUGAAGACAUUAUUCCAAAAUUUUGGAAUGUCGGUCUUUAUGUUAGAUCUUGCAUACAUGGAUUGUCAGUUGGAGUUUCUACUCCAUUACAAAACAAGGCCUUAUACCUUAGACCCCUGAUAGAGUAUAAAUGAAAUAAUUUAGGUUAGGCUGAUUCUUGUGUCCUCCAAAGUGAACUUAAACCUUAUUUUAAUACUGGCUGGGGCCUAAAGUUCUGUCACUACUCUUGUUUAACUUAGAUUUUUUUUUUUUGGUUUUUAAAUGGUAGUGUGGAUGUUGGGUGUCUAAGGUAGAUUUUAGGUUUAUUUCUUAACAAAUGCACAAACAAAAUAAAACAAAUGGAUGAUGCAGAUGUGAAAUUACAUUUUGGCCAUUUUCCUUUAGUUUGAGGAAGUUGUUGUUGGCUAUACCAAAACUUCCUAAAGUUUUUCAUGAUAUUUAUGAUACAUGUUGCCUCACAAUAUUUCUUUAUUGUCUCUUUCAGCCAUAUAGAGUUCACUGGUGUCCAUUUGGUGAAUUGGCACAAGUUGGUUCAUCUUAUGAGUAAGCAAGAUUCCCCCCCUCUGGUUUUUUUAUUUGUUAUAUUGUCACUAUGGCUUGUGUUAUUUGCAAAUUUUUCCCCAGUAGAUUACCAUAUCACUUAGAUUGACAGCUUGCACAGUUAUAUUAUUUCACACUUUUUGCCUUUUGUAUUGGAACGUUGAGCACUAUUUGUAGUUUUAACAUGUGGAACAUUUUGGUUUACAAUUGUUCCAUCAUAUAUCUGGAAGUUUAAUGUUUUCUAAACAAAUGUUCUCCUUAUUUAAACUAAAUGUAUGGGUUUAUAUUCAAUUUUUGGGUGCCCCUGGGUUGAUAAAGAUUGAGGCCUGAGCCUGCAUGUUCAUUAGGGGCUAAGUUUUCUCACACAUUGUGCUCAGACAACUCAUAUAUUGCACUCAGGCAACAAUGGACAAUGACUUGUUUAUUAUGAAUGUGGAUGUAAAUCACUUUCUACUUGGGUGUUUUUCUUUGAGUUCGUUAUUGAUUGGCAUUACUUUUAUUGCUUUAUUAUUUUUUACAGUGUUCAUCUUUGUUUGGGUAUUGCUCUAGUUUUCUUGUGGACUAAUGGUCUCUUUGAGAUGGUUAGACGGAAGGCAUUUGCUUAUCUUGAGAAUGUUACUUAUCCUCCCCUCCCCCGCUCUUGAAAAAAUUAGGUGUCCUGUCUUAAUAAAGCCUUAUUGCUUUGCUAAUGAACUGAUGUUUUCUUAUCUCUAGGGAAGUAGAAUCACCAUCAACCACCUGUAAGUGUUUUUAUUAUUAAUUGAUUUCUUAUAAAAACUUCUGCAGUCCCUAAAUGAUAGCAGUCCCUAAAUGAUAUUAUAAGAUGACAAUGAAUGUUGUUCUUGUGUAGAUCAUGACUUAAGGGGACACCAUUCAGUUUAUGCUGAACACACAGCUGCAUCAUCAGUGGCUCAUUCAUAUGUUGCAUAUGUUGGGUCAAUUCCUCCCAACUCCUCAAGAUCUAAUGAUAGCAGCAUUGAUGAUCCCAACUUCAAUCAUCACUGGAAUGGUUCAUCUGGACACCAUGAGAUCUUUACCGCGCAGGCUUUUCCUGCCAUUAAUAUCCAAUACCAUAGUUGGGGCCGCAGGUCCCCUCCUGUCUCUGUAUCUGGUAGCCACAUAAAUGGUGUUGACCCUGCUUCUGUUCCUCUGACGUUCAGAUCAUCAAAUGGUGAAUCAGAUACAAGAACAAGGUCCACAUCUUUUCCACAUCCAGUUGUACUUGGUCAUGGGUAAGCAGUGUGCAAUAUUAUUUUUUUUUCCCUCGUGUCUGGAUAAACAUAAGAAUGGGAUUUUCAUCCUUAAUACUGUUGGGCAUGCAAUUGAAUUUUAAUUCUCUCUUGUUUCAUAAAGCAUUUUACUUGGUUUUUGAUUCAUUAGUUCACAGAAGUGACGCUUUAUCAUGCUAAGUUUUAAGAAAUUUAUGGUCACUUCAUUAACAUUUUUAAUGGUUAGUCCUUGUCUUCUAUUGCACAAAGUUUCAACUUUAUCCGUUCUAACCUUCAACAAUUGACGCAAUAUGUUACAAGUGCUGCAUCACAGAAGGCAAAGAAUGCCUGUUUUGUUCACUUUAUUUGUUGUCAACAGUGGAAACAUUGCUUGUUUGUGGUGCUCACAUUUGUUCUUAUGAGCUGUCAAGUGCAUAACACUAAUGAUUCUGCAUCUACUCUUCAUAGGUCUGGUUCUGCAGCUGGCAGCUCAUUUGCCUCUUCAGUUGUUCCUCACCAUCCAGGAAGCAGUGCUCGGACCCAUGAAAGGAUCCAGAUUUCCCAUGCUUUCCAUCAUCGUCAACAUUCUAGCAAUUCACCUGGCUUUCCACCACCUAUCAUUCAUGGUAUGAGGAGAUUUGAUGUUCCAAGGGGCUUGCCUUCGAUACUACCCGCACCCCUUCAGCAUGAACAUAAUGGUAGUUUCUUAAUCAUUCCUCCAAGUUCAUCAGGCCAGAAUCUACAAGAAACAGAAAAUCCUUUCCGGAAUUAUUUUAAUGCAUGGGAAAGGGAGCAUUGGACUCAUCUCCAACACGUAUCAUUUGAUAGGGACUCAGGGUGGGGAUCAUUUCGUCAGAGUACUGGCGGUCCCAGUGCUGGAAACAGAUCUAGUGGCUUUGGGAAUAGGCAUUAGGAUCUCUUCAUUGUGGCUGCAAAAGCUUAUCAAUGAAAUUCAUCCCAUUUAUUGGAAACAUUUAAUUAUGUUCCGCUCAAAUGACUGAAACAGUGUUAUGUAUCGCAACUGAUACUGUUAUCAUUUUUGUAAAUUUGAUCAAAUUUGCACUAUCAACAAUUUGGCUUUCUGAAACUGUAAAGUUAUUUUCUUAAGAUGGGAUGAGGUAAUGGAUCUGUUUCGGUUCAUUAUUUUGUAAGACUUCAUUUCUACUGUUUAUCACAAAAAAAUUGUCUUCGUUUGGAUUUUGUUUAACUUUCAAGAAAACAGGUGCUGUCUCGGAUAAAUGAUAACAGAGGAGUCUGCGUACUCUCUCCUUCAUUAAAUUGCCUAGCGCUCAUUAAAUUUCAUGAACAGGGAGUUUUCUGAGCUGCCCAACACCAGCCGAUAUUAUCAUAUAGGCUCUCAAGAAAGCUGAUAUCAUACUUCCCACAAAUUAAACACCAUAUAGACCUAUAACAUUAGAUCUUGUAGAGAAGUUAUGAAGCAACUAAUUAUUGUUUAUAGCGUUACAUUUCGAUCUGCUCGUAAAGCAAUGCACCAAGACAUUUUAACCUUCUGAAACAAGUGCGUCUAGUGUUUUCUCAAGUUCAAUAGUUCCGUGUGAGCCGACUCUUCCUCUUUUCAAAAAGGUGGAGUACCAACGUGCAGAUUUCUUGGGUAGUCUUGUCAGGCUUGGAUCGUCCAAAUCUACGAAAUACAGGCCAUAGCUAGAUCCUUUGCCAUCCAAUAACUCGAAAACAUCUAAAAAGGACCAUACAAAAUACCCUCUUGUAUCCGAUCCAUUCCUUCACAAUUUUAAAGAAAAAAAAAAAUUAGAUGGGAUAUAUAAAUUGCCAAAACUUGCCCCAUAUUCAUGAAUCAAGAAAAAAAAAACUUCAAGAAAGGCAAAUCAAUCCAGUUUGAUGCCAAAUUAAGAAACCUGAUUGCGUCAAGCAAACCCCCAAUAUAAGCAUGAAGAUAUUCCACUCUUGAUGUGUCUUCCAAUGACAUAUUAUGCCGGCCCACUUGCCCUGCCAAACCAUGCAACAUAACCGAAUUUUCCUUGAAAAAAAAAAAAGAAACUAAUUUGACAAGAUAACAUAAAGUUUUCGACAAUAACUACAUUAAUCAAUCUUAAAAAGCGAGUGUGCAUGCACGUAAAGAGAUGGGACGAGACCAUUUUCGUGGAUGUAAAUUGGAGGAUUGCCAUAGGCUUGCUUAAAAUACUCCAAUAAUCCUUGCAAACCCCAAGGCCUUCGAGGAUACUGAGGAAUGACAAGUUAGUAUGUAGCAAUGGAAAAUUCUUAUCUAAACUCGGGUAUAUUAUGUAUUACGUAAAUAUAUGGGCCCAUCAUACAUUUUUUGUUUGGAUCUAUGGUGAAUAAAUAUAUGGGCCCAUCAUACAUUUUUUGUUUGGAUCUAUGGUGAACCAGAUUUAGGCAAAAAAAUACCAACACAUAAGAAAAAAAACAAAUAAAUAGUAGGUAAAAGGAAUCUCACCUCUUGCGGGAAUAAUACGAAUGGAACAUCUUCAUCUUGGUCGAAAAAGAUAGCUACUGCCAUGUCUGCACUAUAAUCUCUAUUCUCCAAUUUCAGACUUUUGGAGUUAUCCUUAAUGUAAACUGUAUAGUAAUGUAUCAGUCCUAUGAAGUCAAAUGCUCCCUUAACCAAUUUGGAUUCUUCAUUGGAAAGGACUGGAAGUCUUAAACCUGCAUUAUUUUUCAUUAUUUCAGGAUAGUCUCCAAACACCAAGGGAUUUACAAACCAACCCAAAAAGAAGUCUCUGGCUCUUUGUGCAGCAGUUACAUCCUCUGUUGAGUUAGUUAGAGGGAGAAGCCAAAAGGCAUAGAGGGUGAUUCCUAUAACUCCAUUUUGCUUGCUCUGAUAUUUAUUCUUGUACAAUCUGACAGUUGAUGAAUGUGCCAACAACAUAUUGUGAGCUGCCAAGUAUGGCUCAGUGGAGGAGUCACCUUUGGAGCAAUUCCUAAAUCCAAAUGGAUAAGAACAUCGUCCUGGCGGCAGCAUUCCCUGGUCAUAACCUCCAAAUGCAAAGAUAUUGGGUUCAUUUAUAGUUGACCAAGAUGAAACCCUAUCACCAAAUUCUCUGAAGCACACAUCUGCAUAAGCUGUGAAGUCUCUCACAAUGUUUCUGCUAAUCCAUCCUCCAUAUUCAUCUUCAAGUGAUUGUGGAUGAUCAUAAUUGUAUAACGAAACAUGAGCUUGGAUGCCUGAUUCGUCAGGGGGAAAAAAAGAUGGAUUAAAGCUAAAAAGAAGCAUUAGAGAAGAACACUUGGGAAGUAAUUUUUUUACUAGCUAUAUAUAAGUGAAAAAGCACUCUCAAACAACUAGAAAACAAAUUUUAACUU